rnacentral:rRNA from 1 species
UACGUAGGGUGCGAGCGUUGUCCGGAAUUAUUGGGCGUAAAGAGCGCGUAGGCGGCCAGAUAAGUCCGGUGUGAAAGUCAUAGGCUCAACCUUUGAAUGCCGCUGGAAACUGUCUGGCUAGAGUCCGGGAGGGGCGAGUGGAAUUCCUGGUGUAGCGGUGUAAUGCGCAGAUAUCAGGAGGAACACCAAUGGCGAAGGCAGCUCGCUGGAACGGUACUGACGCUGAGGCGCGAAAGCGUGGGGAGCAAACAGG